rnacentral:misc_RNA from 1 species
GAUGAAGAACGUAGCGAAAUGCGAUACGUAAUGUGAAUUGCAGAAUUCAGUGAAUCAUCGAAUCUUUGAACGCACAUUGCGCCCGCCAGUAUUCUGGCGGGCAUGCCUGUCCGAGCGUCAUUUCAACCAUCAAGCCCCGGGCUUGUGUUGGGGACCUGCGUCCGACGCAGGCCCCGAAAACCAGUGGCGGGCUCGCUGUCCACACCGAGCGUAGUAGCUAACCUCGCUCCGGAGUGGCGCGGGCGCCUGCCGUAAAACCCCCCAAUUUUACAAGGUUGACCUCGGAUCAGGUAGGAAUACCCGCUGAACUUAAGCAUAUCAAUAAGCGGAGGA